UAAAAGGCAUGUUGUAUAAUUAAAUUGUUUAUCCUAUUUCCAUUGGUUUUUCUCUAUUUUUGAGUUUUCAAAAUUGAUUGAUACACUACGUUCACAUGUUUCUGCUAAGGAAUUUAAUUCCUUCAAUAUAUAAAUAAUCGAAAAAACACAAAGUAAAGAAAUAUACCUGAAUCUUUCAAUAAAUUUAAAGACAAAAGUGAAAAUAAGUGCACAAGGUUAUUUAGGUGAACUUCUAUAACUAGGUAGAUCUCUAACGAUAUCAUAUAAUAUAAGUGUAAGUAUAUACCCUAACCUCUACUCUAUGGUAUGUUCUAUACACAUCUAAUGUACAUAUAAGUAUAUAACCUAGUUAAGCCCCCACCCCCGUGGAAUGUUAGACAUUUAGCAUUGAGGAAAAAAUGUAGGAAUUGAAAUCCUAAAUUUCAAAAUAAUUAGAACCAACAAUUGUUAAGUAUAUCGAUUAAAAAAUAGCACAUCAAUAGAAAUAAUUAUAUGUAACUAUUAAAUGAAGAUUUUUUAAAUCUUCCAUAGUCUAAGACUUAUACACUGAAAAAAGCAUUGUGUGUCUUCAUGUUCUUCAUCUUCGUACACCUAUGUCUCCCUCGACUUUUUCCUUUGAUGAUCUUUGUCUACCUCUCAUUCUUGCUCUACAUCCUACCUAACAGGGUUGUUCAAAUUACCCAACAACCCGGACUACCCAAUCCAACUUGGGUUAAACCUUUUCUAUUUUUGUUGGGUUGAUCAAGUUAUAUAUAUCAACUUAUUAUUUAUUAUUAUUAUUUUUUUUUUUUUUUGUCAUAAAAUAAGUUUGAUUCGGGUCGCGGGUUAGAUUUGGGACACGUCAACUUACAUCUUCUGAAAAAUAAGUUGGAUGGUUACCUUAUUGAAAAGGGGGCAAAUUUAGAAACAUGAACAAAUCAUUUUUUUGAGUCGCUGAAGUUCAAGUCCCGGCGUGCAUUUGAUUCAUCCUAUGCAGGUUGAGAAGGAGAUAUCUGUUUAUUUCUUCAGAGAUUCAAUUCGCGACCGUUCAGCAGGUAAGUUAUCACGAAAAAUUUACAUGAAUUGACCACAUUUCAAUCAAUUGCAUUGCCAAUUGUUCUCUCACUCUUUCAUUGUCUUAGAUGCCAUAGCAAAUUAGAUGUUGUUGUUGCAAAUUUGAAAUUGAUCCUUUUGAGCAUAUCUCUGUUUACCAUCAAAGCCGAAAUUGAUAUCUUUUAUUUUUCUUCCUUUAGGGUUUACUAAAAGUUCUAAUCAGCAUGACUUCAUGAAUGUUAAGUAAGGGUAGAGAUUGAAAUCAUUUUAGAAAAUUUUAAAUAGAACAAAUCUCCAAGCAUUAAGAAAAGCUGAUGCCCAUUUUCCUCCGUCUAGGGGGUGGAGAAGAAAAAAGGUAAGAUGAACCAACCAAAACAAAAAGGUGGGGGGAGGGGGGUCCUCCACAAUAGACAAUGAGCAUAGUAACUUUUGACAGCAAGUUCGAAGAUGGUGUGAUGGCAGAAAUCAAGUUUUUUCCCUCUAUUUGAAGGCAAUGAUGAGAAGCUACUUGAUGCCAGGAUAGACAAUAAGUUGUCUCAUUCCAUCAUCUUCUUGUUUUAUAGAUGUUUGGCAGUUGAAAUCAUAUAUUAAAUGAAAGCUCGUCAUUGUUUACAUCCUCCCUUUCUGCUCCAUCUUUUCUCUUCCCACUCUUCAACAGAGUAGAUGAAGACUGAAGUGUUUGUUCAAAUUAAGGGAGUCAAAAGAAAGUCAAGCUCAAUCUGUCAUUUUCAUCUAGUUAUGGUGGUCAAGCCCAUGUGAGCCAUGAUUUCAAAAGGUACAAAAGUUUUUUUUUUUUCCCUUUUUUUUUUUUCUUUGGAUGACAACUAUAGUCCAUCAAUGGCUAUCCAUCCAACAAGAAAUGUGGAAAAUGAAACACAAUUGCCAUUUUUAACUCAAAAGCAUGGUGGUUGAAGUAAUUUUGAAAGCUUUGCACCUCAUUUUGUCAAGGUUUUGAUUAUGCUAAAGAGUAGGGCUUUUGCAUUUGUUCAAAAAGGAAAUCUCUUGUAUAUAAUUGUGAGAAAACUUGGGAUAAGAACAAUGAGAUUACAAACAGAACAAUAUAACAGGGUUGUUAAAUUACUUUUUUGUCCAAAUUUAAAGUUGUGAUACUCAUGAAUGUAGAAUUGAACCAUACUAGUCUAUUAUUAUGUACAUUGUAUGAAGAAUUGCCAAAGUGUUCUUAAUA